GGAGGGGCGGCCGGGCAGCGCCGCGGCGCUCCGCCGCUCGCCGGGUUGGGCACACAGGGCGCUGGGGCGCGGGCAGCCCCGCAUAGUCCCCUCGCCUCGCCCGCCCUCCUCCUCCUCCUCCGGGCCGGGCCGGGGCUGCCGCCCGCCGCUGGCCCCGCCGAGGCGCGGGGCGGGCGGCCGCCGCUUCAGCCCCGCGGGGGGAACGCCGGGCCCCCGCCGGGAGGGGACCGCUCCUCCAUGUCGCCUGGGCUGCUUCCUCCCCGCCACCCGCACGGCCACCGCUCCCCUCACGGCCGAACCUAAACCGGGGCCCUCACACUCGAGCGUCCUGACGCCGGGGGGGGCCGGUCCCGUUCCCCGUCGUCACCCCCCCCCCCCCCCCCCCCCCCCCCCCCCCCCCCCCCCUUCCCUCCCUCCCUCCCUCCCUCUCCCCGUUUCCCGGCGGGGUGGUGCCGCGCCGCCGCGGGGAGCUCGCCUGCCCUGGCGGGGGCCGGCCCGCCCGCCUGCGCGCCGCCGACAGCGGAGGGAGGGGAGCGGCGGGGACGCGCUCAGCCGCCGGCCGCCGCCACCAUCUUCCUCAGGGGAAGGGGGGUGCGCGCUCCCGCGGCGGGAACGCGCACCCCCCCACCCCCCCCGCUUCUUCCCGCCCAGGCUGAGGGAUGCGCGCGUGGCUGAGGGGAGCGGCUCGCGCCCCCGUCCCCUCAGAGCCGGCGGCGGGCGGGGAGGGUUGAGAGGGACAGGACCGGGGGUAAGACAGCGGGGAGCGGGUCCCUCAGGGCGUCCCUCUGCCUUCCCGGUGGGUUCCGCUGCCCUCAGGGCCCUUGUUUGUACCGGAGGGGGAGGGGGCGGGGAUGGGGGGGGGGACACAGGGAACGGCGGCCGCUGGCACGGCGGACAUUUGCCAUGCGCAAACAACAGGCACUUGGGCAAACAAUUUAAGCUCUCCGCAGCCUGCUGGAAACUUGCUGGCGGGUCUUUUUUAUUAUUUUAUUUAUUUAUUUAUUUUUCUCCUUGCGUCUCUUCCUAGCUUGUUUAUAAGUGACGCUAUCUGGCCGGCACCGCUCCCUCAGUUUUAUUAUCUCUUCCUCCCAGAGGGCCCGUUAUCGUUCCCUCCUUCGCUGGGUUCCUCUGGGCUCCCUCCGGCUUCUCCCUGGCCCUCCAUCCCAUUCCCCACGGGUGACAGUCCCACCACCUUCUCAGCCCUUCUCCCUGUUUCUUCCCAGGCCCUGCUGAGCCUCUCUCCUUCCACAUAUCCCAUUUACUCUUUUCCAGGUGAGCCUUUCCCAGCUGGAUGCCCCCCAAAGUGCUCAACUCCAGCUGUCCUUCUUCCAGCAGUGAGUCCCUUCUCCUCUGAAGACAGCACACUCUCAUUUACUGGUGCGAAGGAUGGUGAAACGGGACUGAAGAAGACAUCUGACUUGUCCAACCCCUCCUUUGGAAGUGUAGAAGAGAACAUUCUUCUCAGCUGUACCUGAGGUUUCACCUGCAUGGCUGCUGUCUAGGAAUACAGGUGACCCCCAUUACUCCAACCAGAGCAGAUACAUCUGAGCAGUUUAGCAAUGGUGUGACACACACGACAUGGAAGGCAUUGAGAAAGUACUGUAUCAAUUUUUAGUUUGUAGUUAAGAUGAUUUCUACAUGCCGGUGUCCUCUAAGCACGGAAAGAGUACACUCCUCCUGUCUGCAAAUGCAGGAACCAGUCAUUCUUUCAAUUUAUCACUGUGGCGGUGGGGUUAAGCCUUUGACAAAAGAAGAAAAACUAAUACAGGGCAAUUUGACCCCUGCUACAUUAGUGUGGGGACUGAAAUUGGGGUGGCCCAACACAGCCCAGUGAUCCUACUGCUGAUACAUGUAGUGUUUGUGUCGAUUAAAAACUGGUUUGAUUCUAAAGCGGUGGGUGCUGCACUUCGCUCUUGAUGACUUAAAGAUUUUAUUUACACUGCACAAAGAAAAGACUCCAGUAAAAGGUUAUUGUUGGGGCUUCAGACUCACGUACUUAAAAAUUACAAAGAGAUUACAUUGAUUUUAGCGUUUUGACGCUCUCAAAUGGUAUCUAUGGAGUGCUUGGUGCUGAGUAUUUGGGAUUUUUGCGAGGCUGUUGAUGGACCAUGAGUGUUGAAAGCUGAGCGUGAAUGCGUGUCUCUGCCACGGGCCCAGUUCUGUUUCCAGGGAACGAGAUGGGAAGAAAAUGUUGCUGAAAACACUAAAGCGCAGCAAUUUGGCAGAGAUGGUUAUCACAUCUCUGAGUCGUUUUUACCUGCGCUGCUGCCCUGACAACUGCAGUACAUUGUGGAAAUAAAACGUGAAGUCACUCAGGUCUGAGUUCUGCU
rnacentral:lncRNA from 1 species